GCCUUGGUGGUGUAGUGCUAGCACGCGUCUCCCCAUAUGGGUGAAACGCGGGUUUGAUUCCCGACUAAGGCC